UGGAUGGUAUUCUGAAAAGAAACUGUACCAGUGAUCAUAAUUUAUUUUCAAAGUAUGAAGCUUAUAUCCAAUAGGAAUAAGACUUAGAG
rfam:Anaerostipes sp. 992a contig000004, whole genome shotgun sequence.